rnacentral:lncRNA from 1 species
CCAGCCCAUCGUACUCACCCACAUCUCCGAGCUACAGCCCAACAUCACCAAGCUACAGCCCUACAUCACCAAGCUACAGCCCUACAUCUCCUAGCUAUAGUCCUACAUCACCAAGCUACAGCCCCACCUCACCAGUUUAUAGCCCAACCUCACCAGCAUACAGCCCCACAUCACCCGCUUACAGCCCCACAUCGCCAUCCUACAGUCCAACUUCACCAUCUUAUAGCCCUACAUCACCUUCAUACAGCCCUACGUCCCCUUCAUACAGCCCUACCUCCCCCUCAUACAGCCCUACCUCUCCCUCCUACAGCCCGACAUCACCUGCUUACAGCCCGACAUCACCAGGAUACAGCCCAACGUCACCGAGCUACAGCCCUACAUCUCCGAGCUACAGUCCUACAUCUCCGAGCUACAAUCCUUCAUCAGCCAAGUACAGCCCUUCACAUGCAUACUCUCCAAGCA